UCUUUAAAUAAAUGGUAACCUCAGCUUCAUCCUCAAUGGCUCAUGAUAUUGUAGUAUCUCUUCAUCUAAUUUAUACAUUACAAGUAAACUGAAUGUGUCAAGACAAUGCACAAAAAAGGUGCAACAUAACUACAUAAGGCCCAACCAUGUUUCCUCUAUAGCAUCUAAUAGUUCAGUACAAUCUACUAUUGCCAGUUCUUAAAUAUUAUUACAACCUACAACUCUUAAUACAUGACAAGCCCAUUUCUUUAUAAACUACUACUGCCUGUUCUUAAAUAUGACAAGCUACAGCUACUACUAUGAGUUGUUAAUAUAUAACACCGCUGAUCAGGAAUCCUAUCUUAUGGUAUUUAUUGCCAAGUUUGUAAGCAUCAUCUUAUCCUUUAUAACCUUUUGCAGACUCACAGAGCUGCCAUGUUAGUUUAUUAACUUGCCACCAGUCUGAACUUUUGAGCUGCAGAAUGGAAUAUUGUAAUUCUGAUGGUGUCAUGCGGCUCAAUUAAGAAACAAUUCUGCGGAAACAUAUUGAUAAUCCACAUCCUGAUCUUGGUCAAAUAUGUUACAAACUUGAAAAUAGCCACAUCCUAAUUCUGCAUCCUUUCACCUUGUAGCAGUUUUGUUUUUUUGUUGUCAUACCUAGCUUAUUUUUGAGAAUGUGUACCACUCGUCAUAAGCAUUUCUAUAGCAUAUAUGCACAAGUAGAUUUUCUGGGAAUGCUCUUGCUAAUAAUUCUGGGACAUGAAAUCAAAAUGAACUCAAGUGUGUUGAUCAAAUGAUGUUGACAAAAAUAGCAGAACAUUGUUUCCUGUGGUGAUUGAUUCCUGUCGAGAAGGAAGCCCGCAACACAACACUUCACUGCAUAGGAACAAAUAUAUUCGUGUGUAUUCAUGGUCAUAUAACAAUGUUACUCUUGCAUGAACAAUCAAGUAUAAGCUAGCAUGUGCUGCUCUAGCCUAACAAUUUCAUAUGAGCUUUGAACAACUUUUGGAUUGAUUGCACUUUCGUGACAAAUUCAUAUGGAAUAUUUUCAGGUACUUAGCCACCUAGCAUUGGAUGUGAGGAGGACUUUGAGUGUCAUGGAACAUACAUGGCUGUUAGCAGUAUUUUGGACCAACCAACUUCAAUCAUUUCUUGAAUCUUAUGUGUGUUCUAGACCAUUUGGUGCUUCAAGUGUUUUGGAGUAGAAACUUUGUGCUCAUGUAUGUGAUUUGUGUGUUUUGGACCAUU
rnacentral:lncRNA from 1 species